AAAUUGAAGAGUUUGAUCAUGGCUCAGAUUGAACGCUGGCGGCAGGCCUAACACAUGCAAGUCGAACGGUAACAGGAAGCAGCUUGCUGCUUCGCUGACGAGUGGCGGACGGGUGAGUAAUGUCUGGGAAACUGCCUGAUGGAGGGGGAUAACUACUGGAAACGGUAGCUAAUACCGCAUAAUGUCGCAAGACCAAAGAGGGGGACCUUCGGGCCUCUUGCCAUCGGAUGUGCCCAGAUGGGAUUAGCUUGUUGGUGGGGUAACGGCUCACCAAGGCGACGAUCCCUAGCUGGUCUGAGAGGAUGACCAGCCACACUGGAACUGAGACACGGUCCAGACUCCUACGGGAGGCAGCAGUGGGGAAUAUUGCACAAUGGGCGCAAGCCUGAUGCAGCCAUGCCGCGUGUAUGAAGAAGGCCUUCGGGUUGUAAAGUACUUUCAGCGGGGAGGAAGGGAGUAAAUUUAAUACCUUUGCUCAUUGACGUUACCCGCAGAAGAAGCACCGGCUAACUCCGUGCCAGCAGCC
rnacentral:rRNA from 1 species